rnacentral:rRNA from 1 species
CAGUUCGGAUUGUAGGCUGAAACUCGCCUACAUGAAGCUGGAAUUACUAGUAAUCGCAGAUCAGAAUGCUGCGGUGAAUGCGUUCCCGGGUCUUGUACACACCGCCCGUCACACCACGGAAGUUGGGGGCGCCCGAAGCCACUUAGCUAACCCUUUUGGGAAGCGAGUGUCGAAGGUGAAAUCAAUAACUGGGGUGAAGUCGUAACAAGGUAUC